CGCCUGCAUGAAGUCGGAAUUGCUAGUAAUCGCGAAUCAGAAUGUCGCGGUGAAUACGUUCCCGGGUCUUGUACACACCGCCCGUCACACCAUGGGAGUCGGAUAUGCCCGAAGCCGGUGACCUAACCGCAAGGAAGGAGCCGUCGAAGGUGGAGCUGAUGACUGGGGUGAAGUCGUAACAAGGUAAC
rnacentral:rRNA from 1 species